rnacentral:rRNA from 1 species
ACGGUAUCGCAUGAUACAGUGUGAAAAUAUUUAUAGGUAUGAGAUGGACCCGCGUCUGAUUAGCUAGUUGGUGAGGUAACGGCCCACCAAGGCGACGAUCAGUAGCCGGCCUGAGAGGGCGGACGGCCACAUUGGGACUGAGACACGGCCCAAACUCCUACGGGAGGCAGCAGUGGGGGAUAUUGCACAAUGGGCGAAAGCCUGAUGCAGCGACGCCGCGUGAGUGAAGAAGUAUUUCGGUAUGUAAAGCUCUAUCAGCAGGGAAGAAAGACCUCGUAAGAGGGGAUGACGGUACCUGAGUAAGAAGCCCCGGCUAACUACGUGCCAGCAGCCGCGGUAAUACGUAGGGGGCAAGCGUUAUCCGGAUUUACUGGGUGUAAAGGGAGCGUAGACGGUGUAUCAAGUCUGAAGUGAAACCCCACGGCUCAACCGUGGGCUUGCUUUGGAAACUGGUAGACUAGAGUACUGGAGAGGUAAGCGGAAUUCCUGGUGUAGUAGUGAAAUGCGUAGAUAUCAGGAAGAACAUCAGUGGCGAAGGCGGCUUACUGGACAGCAACUGACGUUGAGGCUCGAAGGCGUG